UACAGAGGGGGCGAGCGUUGUUCGGAAUUACUGGGCGUAAAGGGCGCGUAGGCGGCCAACUAAGUCAGACGUGAAAUCCCUCGGCUCAACCGGGGAACUGCGUCUGAUACUGGGAUGGCUUGAAUUCGGGAGAGGGAUGCGGAAUUCCAGGUGUAGCGGUGAAAUGCGUAGAUAUCUGGAGGAACACCGGUGGCGAAGGCGGCUACCUGGACAGAAAACUGGACGCUGAGGCACGAAAGCUAGGGGGAG
rnacentral:rRNA from 1 species